CACAACCGAAGAUAUUCCAAGGUCGAGGUGGAAGCAGCGUUCAAGGCUAUGCCGACCUUUUGUGGCGACAUGACUGACCUGAGUGACGUGCCCGUACUCUUGAAGAGAUUGGACUUUUCCUGCACGGAGGGCCAGAUGGUGGGAUAUCUCACCUUUUUGAGGGACUGUCACGAUGGAAAAGUUCCCCUGGAGGUGGGGAUUGCUUCCUUGGGAGUUGUGGAUGAUGCCAGGGAAGUCAUGCGGGUCCAUAUCCACGCCCUGGACAAGGACAGGGAUGGCUUCGUGGAUGAGUUCGAGUUCAAGGCGACGGUCCAACUCUGCCUUCUUCAUGACCCGUCCUUGGCAAAGGUGGACUUUAACAAGUUUGUCCAGGAAGCGGAUACAGAUAAGGAUGGCAAAGUGAGCAUUGCCGAUGCAACCGAGUGGUUUUGUGAACACGGGCAAAAUUAAAGAAGUUCAGAUACAGUCCGCCACCCAGAAAUUGGGUGUUUCCCGUUUCUCGGAAAAAUGCAGAAUGCAGGAUCCCUUCGUAAACACCGGGCUCGUAAUUUAUCCAAGAUAUCCUGUCAGGGAUUGCUUUCAAACAAGGAUAAGGAUAAAUUGGUCAUUCUCAAUCGGGGAGCUAGUGGUUUGACCAAGGCAGAAUUUGUGGCCGUAGAAACUUCCGGCUUGCCAGAAAGUCCUCCAAUAAAUGAUAGAGAUCCAACCGAAACUCGACCAUAUUUACUGAGCAGCGGUGUAAUUUGGCGCCUCAAAACGAUCCUUACCCUGGGACGGGCUGUCUUCAUAUUUCCCUGGAGCUGGGGUGAAUUUGUGGGGGAAGAUAAGGUCUCUAAUUUCGAAAUCACGGCCUGGAGCCCGACCUGGGAAAGGAUUUGGCUGCUGGGGUCUCUCGUGAUUUUAUCCAGUUCCAGCGUCCUGACCCUUUUUCAGUCCUCUUUGUUGAUUAGGAUUGUCCAAAGUUCUCCAGACUCGUAUCGCCUCCCGUUCAAGUUGUACACGAGCAUUUGUUGGCAUCUCCACUCCGUCAUGCUUGGCGGGCUUUUCUUGAUCUACAGCGAGGAGAUGAGGAGCUACACGAAUACCUUGUUCUCCUUCAAUAGGAGGCUGGUUGGUGAGUGGGGAUGGGAAACGCAAACAGGGUACCCCGGGUUUUUGGGGUAUUGAGGGUUUUGGGGUGGAAAAUUUGAGCAACACCCACGGGUAGUCGGGGUUUUCAAAUUUUAUAAAAUAUUAUAGGAGGGCAUUAUUAUAAAUUCUACUAAUUAAUUAAUUAAGAUAAUUAACAACCCGCUUUGUUGUGAAAUUAAAGAAAAAGUAGAUUUAUUUCACAACUUAAUACAUGAGACACUACCUCCGUUUACCCCGACUACCCCGACUACCCCAGCCACCCCGACUACCCGUAAAUUCAGGUGAACAAAUGGGUAGGGGUUUUCAAUAGCGAAACCUCGUGGUUUUCCUUACCCUUCUCACAAGGCGGUGAACGAAAGCAUUGCUUACAAGAAUUUUGUAUCUUUUAAAACAGCGCGGUACGUCGUGAGUAUUGGAGGAAAAAAGGCGGGCUCUUUAUGAAUAUUACAGUCCCAAUACUUUGUACGCAAAUCGUCCUCUCCGCUAUGAGAUACUGCUCCAGCUACAAGUUGCCGCUCUACCUGACUCAUUUCUGGGGAGGGGAAAAUGGGGGUGAAACUCCCCUCUGGUUGAUUGCCUUGGGGGCCGUGCAGGAUGUCUAUACAUCUGGACAACUCGUGGCUGGGACAUUGUUUCUGGGAUGGGCCACAGUGGCUCAUGCAACGUCCUUGGAGUUUUGGAUGGAAGAAGCACAUUGCAACAACGAGAGCGACAUGACUCGGGAAGAUCUACGAGAACACGACCAGUCAAUGGAGCUCUACCGGAUGGCACAACUCCUCUCAAACCUCUUCAACCACACCGUGGGCAAAGUGGCCAUCCCGAUGUGCGCCUUUCUCAACUUCUCCGCCGCCAUUGGCCUCGGCUACCUCACCGUGCGAAGUAUGAACCACUUUUUCAUUGAGGAAUUCCCGUCCUCCUUCUUCUUCCCGUUCGGUGCAGUGCUCACCCUCUGCUCGGCCUUUGCACAGUUCCAAAUUGCGGCAGUGUUGCAUGACAUGUCGGCCAGUUUUCUGGACUCCUGGUCCAACACGGAGGACCUCGCGGAGAGAAGAUUUCUCGUGUCGUGCGGAUUUAUUAAGACGACGGCGGCAGGAUUUACCUCCGUUACGAGGAAAAGUCUGGUGGGGUAUUUUCAAACGGUGUCGAAUUAUAUUAUUGAUGCCGUGAUUACAUUUCCGUAGUCAGUUGCGACAACAGAGUUUUUUAGUCGAGUUCGUUGUCAUAUAAUUUUCGCUAUUGUAAGCAUGUACGUAUUCGUUUCAUAAUUAAAAUUUGAAAAUUAUGAAUAUAAUUAUUUUGGAAUUUAACAAUGACUUGAGUUGAAUAAUUCAUGACGGCGGCGGUAACAACCGGAAACAGGAUAAAUGUAUAACAUUAAAUUCCUGUAAUAAAGCAUUUGUUUAAAACAAUGAUCGAUUGUUCAAAGCAAUUUGGUAAAACUAACCUCAUAUCCUGUGUUCUAUACGCAUUCAAAAAAUUUAUUUGGUAUAUGUGACUGGAGGAGCUCCAUGCAAGAUAUCAAUUCUUCUCGAGAUGAAAAUCCUAGUCUUUCUUGCAGUACUGAUUUCAGCUUCCCAAGCAAGUCCUGGGGCAAAGUGCGUGUGUAAAAAGGAUGACAACGUAUUAACCGGGCGGCAGUGUGGCAAAGAAAUCAACAGAUUGCAAGGCGCCCCUCCAGUCAGGAAACGAAGGGAAGUCGAUGUGUCCACGCUUUACGAUGGUGAGGAAUGCCACCUCGAUUUCAUUUACGAGUGCCCAGAUCCACCAGACGCAACAACACCAGCGAAACCUAAGGAAAAUUGUAUCCAACUCAUUGACAAUCAUUACACAUGCUCGGACCAGGAUGGAAAUGGAUUCUGCCAAUUUAAUUCAUCUCAAGGCUAAAUUAUGGGCUCAAAUGAACGCUCUAAGAUGUGUUACCGGU